UACAGAGGUCCCAAGCGUUACUCGGAAUCACUGGGUUUAAAGGGCGCGUAGGUGGUCCGUUAAGUCAGUUGUGAAAUCCCCGGGCUCAACCCGGGAAAUGCUUCUGAUACUGGCGGACUUGAGGCCAGUAGGGGUCACUAGAACUGACGGUGGAGCGGUGAAAUGCGUAGAUAUCGGCAGGAAUGCCGGUGGUGAAGACGGGUGACUGGGCUGGUUCUGACACUGAGGCACGAAAGCGUGGGGAGCGAACCGG
rnacentral:rRNA from 1 species